UAAUAGGCACUAAAAAUAGAGAACCCAAAUUCCUGUUCUUCGUCAUCACACAAUUUGCUUAAAUCCCUAAGCACUAAGGGUUGGUGUUUCCACGAUGUCAAUUUCGUAAAUUCACUCAUUCCACCUCAAUCAUCAUGCAUUGUUGAUUCUUUUGAAUCAAAGCUGUUAAAUAUGGACUUGCGAUCCAUCGGUGGAAAAUCAUUGCCUGAAUUUUCACUUCUUCAUAAAUCUCCUCAUAUUCAUGGCCCUAAAGUUCUUCAAGUAAUUAUCUUCCCUUCUGAAGAUAUAUUUUUUAAUCAUAUUAACAUGAUAAUGAUUGCAACUUAUAAUACUUUUCAUAUAGUUUAUGAUAUCUAAAUUCGGAAAAGUGAUAUAUAUACUCCCGAACUAUGAUAAAUGGUACGUAUAUACCCUCCGUCAUACUUUGGGUAUACAUAUGCCCCUAUCGUUAGUGUGAGGGGCACAUACAUACCAUUUUAUUAACGGUAGGGCCAUAUGUGUACCCAUAGUAUGACGGAGGGUAUAUACUUAUCACUUAUCAUAGUUCGAGGGUAUAUUUGUCCCUUUUCCGAUCUAAAUUUUUAAAUAUUAAGUUAAUCUACUUUAAGUUAGGCCAAGAUGUUAGUCAAAUUAAUUCUCGUGAAGUGAAAUAGGCCAAGUUAAAAAGGGGUGGAGGGAGUAUAUAUGAAGGGGAGCUGUGACGUAACCUGUAAGGUUAUUGUCAUGUGACUAGGAGGUUACGGGUUCAAGUUGUGUAAACAACCUCUUAAAGAAAUGCAAUGCAGGAUAAGAUUGUGUACAAUAGACCUUUGUGGUCCGGACUUUUCCGGACUCCAUACAAAGUGGGAGCUUUAGUGCAUUUGUGUGUGUGUGUGUGUGUGUAUAUAUAUAUGUAUGUAUGUAUUUUGCAUCAUUUUGUGUAAAUGGUGAAUGUUAAUGUUAGUAGCUAAAUAAUUAUUGCUAUGAGGCAAAUUGAGUUUUAAGAGUCAGUGGGUUUUAGAGGCGGAGUCAGUAUUUCAACUUUUAUGUGUUUUGGAUUUUAAAUGGCGAUUUCAGUUGAUAGUAGCCCAUUUUUAUUUGCCUUGGUGAUGGAUGUUUUGACACGAUGUAUACAAGGGGAGGUGCAUUGGUUGGUGUAUGUUAUUUGCUGUGAUGUCAAUUUCGUAAAUUCACUCAUUCCACCUCAAUCAUCAUGCAUUGUUGAUUCUUUUGAAUCAAAGCUGUUAAAUAUGGACUUGCGAUCCAUCGGUGGAAAAUCAUUGCCUGAAUUUUCACUUCUUCAUAAAUCUCCUCAUAUUCAUGGCCCUAAAGUUCUUCAAGUAAUUAUCUUCCCUUCUGAAGAUAUAUUUUUUAAUCAUAUUAACAUGAUAA
rnacentral:lncRNA from 1 species